GAUCAUUUCUAUCGUGACUGGGGCUUCGCUUCUCAACAAGACUUUUUCAUUAAAAAUCUAGUGAGUUCAGCUUUUUCAUUAAAAACUAGUGCAAAGAAUAAUGGAUAUCCAUAAAUUAUUACCUAAAGGGCUUAAGAUAGAAAGUCCAUUUACAUGGAAAUUGGACCAAAGAAAUAUUAAAAAAUUUUGUGAAGAAAAAAUCGUGCGCGAUUAUGAAAAUUGGCCUAUCUCAUGUUUUAUUAUGAUGAAUACAUUUGCAUACAUUCAAUUUAUGAUAGGAAAUAGUAUUGCUGCUGAAGAAUUAAUUGCGAAAAUCAAUGCUAUUUGGGAUAAUAUUUAUGAAAGGGUUUCGGAGCAAAAAGUUUAUUCCAUCGAUGUACUAAUACACAUAAAAGAUGCAACAGCUUUUCAUAUUUAUUCAAUGAUUGGGA